rnacentral:rRNA from 1 species
AGAGUUUGAUCCUGGCUCAGGAUGAACGCUAGCGGGAGGCUUAACACAUGCAAGUCGAGGGGCAGCAUUUCUAGCUUGCUAGAAGAUGGCGACCGGCGCACGGGUGCGUAACGCGUAUGCAACUUACCUUUAACUGGAAGAUAACCCAAAGAAAUUUGGACUAAUACUCCAUAGCAUCCGAAUUCGCAUGUUUUUGUGAUUAAAGCUCCGGCGGUUAAAGAUAGGCAUGCGUCUGAUUAGCUUGUUGGUGAGGUAAUGGCUCACCAAGGCGACGAUCAGUAGGGGGCCUGAGAGGGUGAUCCCCCACACUGGUACUGAGACACGGACCAGACUCCUACGGGAGGCAGCAGUGAGGAAUAUUGGUCAAUGGAGGAAACUCUGAACCAGCCAUCCCGCGUGAAGGAUUGAAGGCGCUCGACGUCGUAAACUUCUUUUAUAUAGGAAUAAACCUGAGUACGUGUACUCAGCUGAAGGUACUAUAUGAAUAAGCAUCGGCUAACUCCGUGCCAGCAGCCGCGGUAAUACGGAGGGUGCAAGCGUUAUCCGGAUUUAUUAGGUUUAAAGGGUUCGCAGGCGGAAUUUUAAGUCAGUGGUGAAAGCCUAUAGCUUAACUAUAGAACAGCCAUUGAUACUGAUAUUCUUGAGUGUAGAUGAAGUGGGCGGAAUAUGUCAUGUAGCGGUGAAAUGCAUAGAUAUGACAUGGAACACCAAUUGCGAAGGCAGCUCACUAAACUAUUACUGACGCUCAUGAACGAAAGCGUGGGGAGCGAACAGGAUUAGAUACCCUGGUAGUCCAUGCUGUAAACUAUGAUCACUAGAUGUUGGCGAUAUAUUGUCAGUGUUUUAGAGAAAUCGUUAAGUGAUCCACCUGGGGAGUACGUUCGCAAGAAUGAAACUCAAAGGAAUUGACGGGGGCCCGCACAAGCGGUGGAGCAUGUGGUUUAAUUCGAUGAUACGCGAGGAACCUUACCAAGACUUAAAUGUAUUUUGCUAAAUUGAGAAAUCAAUUGUUCUUCGGACAAUUUACAAGGUGCUGCAUGGUUGUCGUCAGCUCGUGCCGUGAGGUGUCGGGUUAAGUCCCAUAACGAGCGCAACCCCUAUUUUUAGUUGCCAGCGAGUAAUGUCGGGAACUCUAGAAAGACUGCCUGUGUAAACAGUGAGGAAGGUGGGGAUGACGUCAAAUCAUCACGGCCCUUAUGUCUUGGGCUACACACGUGCUACAAUGGUUACUACAAUGGGCUGCCAUCUGGUAACAGAGAGCAAAUCCAUAAAGGUAAUCCCAGUUCGGAUCGGAGUCUGCAACUCGACUCUGUGAAGUUGGAAUCGCUAGUAAUCGUAUAUCAGCAAUGAUACGGUGAAUACGUUCCCGGGCCUUGUACACACCGCCCGUCAAGCCAUGGAAGUUUGGAGUACCUAAAGUCAGUAACCGUAAGGAUCUGCCUAGGGUAAAACAAAUAACUAGGGCUAAGUCGUAACAAGGUAACC